rnacentral:rRNA from 1 species
CCUACGGGAGGCAGCAGUGAGGAAUAUUGGUCAAUGGGCGGAAGCCUGAACCAGCCAAGUAGCGUGCAGGAUGACGGCCCUACGGGUUGUAAACUGCUUUUAUACGGGAAUAACGCGCCUUACGUGUAGGGCUUUGCAUGUACCGUAUGAAUAAGGACCGGCUAAUUCCGUGCCACCAGCCGCGGUAAUACGGAAGGGCCGGGCGUUUUCCGGUUUUUUUGGGUUUAAGGGGGGCGUAGGCCGCAUGUCAAGCGUGCGGUGAAAUGUCCGGGCUCAACCCGGGACUUGCAGCGCGGACUGGCGUGCUGGAGUCCGCGGAAAGCAGGCGGAAUUCGUGGUGUAGCGGUGAAAUGCUUAGAUAUGACGAAGAACCCCGAUUGCGAAGGCAGCUUGCUGCAGCGGAACUGACGCUGAUGCACGAAAGCGCGGGUAUCGAACAGGAUUAGAUACCCUAGUAGUC